CGUUUAUUCUGCGUGUCGUACGACACGCGACGACAAUUCUCACCUCGUUGUCACGCGACUCUUGUCGCUCGAUUCUGAUUGUCGUCUCGAGUGAGGUGAGAGCUUCAUUUUCGAUGUGAGAAACAGAAUGAACAAAAACAAAUGCGAUGUUCAUUUGUAGAACUGUCAAACCGGCGGUGCACCGAGAAAGCACUUUGAUUAUGGCUUAUUUCAAAAGUACAAUUUUCAUUUUCUUUUAAUUUCGUCAAUUUUUAACACUUUUUAUAAUAAACACGAAGUAUUAACCUUAUAAUAUAAAGUGUACUAGGUAUUAAUAAUAAGAAUAAUAUACUACAGCUGCUUAAAAUGUGUUGUUUUUAUCAUUUCGGUGAUGCAAACUUUUCCAACGUUCGGCCCUUAUGUAAAAUUUCUCGAUUGCCUUAUGUUGAUUUUCCUGCUGCUGAACAUAGCAGAAACUUUCUGUGAAAAAAUAAGUUGUACCGUAGGAAUUAUGUAGAAUUCCGGUAUUACAACCGGAAAAGGCAAGCGCUGGUUGUGGCAGAAGUCUCUGAUAAUUGCUGCGGAACUGUUAUUAUGUGAUACAUAUUUGCAAUCGCUUCAAAACGCCGAAAGUGAUGGAAUGAAGUGCACCCGCGGCACAAAUUUCUUGUGUGUAUCCGGCGGACAAAAGUAGUAAUACACCACAAGAUCCUGGUGAACCAGAUUAGUGCAGAAUAUGCCGUAAAAGGCGGAUACGGCCACCCAAGAUUAUCAGUGAAUUUUGAAGCGAAGCAGAUUGAUGUCAAUGGUGUUAAUUCUGACAGUUAGGUGCCCACGUCCAGUUGCCGUUCGCGUUCCAAAGAUGUGCUGAAGUGAUACGCUACUUCCGGGCGGUGGAAUGGCCAAACAAACGAGUGUGACAAAUAUUGUUAUGAACGUGUCUUUCCUUAGCUUUAUUUGAGGUGCGUGACUUUUAACAUAUUUCUGAAGAAAUCUACUCAUUUUCCGGUAUGAACUUCCUGUGCCUAUUGACUAAUGUAUACAUAAUGUUAAUGUGAAAUUGGAACUAUCGAAGAAAAAACAUCUAAACGACUGUGUUGUAGAAACCCUCGCUUUUCUCUAAGAACUCCAAAUAAAAAAAAGAUACAAAAAAGAAAAGCCAUUCCUUUUUAAAUUAUAGGUCCUUCACCGUGAUACCUUAUUGCUACAAACUAACUCCACUCUAGCGCCGAGCGUAUAGUAGACCACCAUCUACGUCGAUGUUCCUCCAGUUUUUACGAAAGUGUAGGAUUCCCAGGUCUUCUAUAGCCGCGUGCAGUCAGCGCGUUCGCGGCCAUCCACGAAAUCGCCGACCUCUAUCUGGUUCCUGCUGCAUGUUGAGAAGCUCCUCCGGGAAUUCCUCCAGAAGUUCCUUCGGAAAUUCCCUCAGGAUUUCCUCCGUAAAUUCCUACAGGAGUUUCUCCGGGAAUUUCUACAGGAGUUCCUAAGAGGAUUCUCCCUGGUAUGCUUAACAGAAGUCCUCAAGGAGUUCCUCCGGAAAUUCCUUCAGGAGUUCCUCCGGAAUUUAGCAAGAAGUUCUUUCGGGAAUUAUUUCAGGAGUUCCUCCGAGAAAUCCUGAAAGAAUUUCCGGAGGAACUCCUGUAAAGAUUCCCGAAAAAACUCAUUCUUGUAGGAAUUCUUUGAAGAAAUUUCAGAGGAACUUAUGGAUGAUCCCUACAGAAGCACCUGUAUGAGUUCGCGAAAAAAAAUCUGCUAAAUUCUUUGAAGGUACUCCCAGAAUAAUUCCUGGAGGGAUUCCCGGAAGAAUUCUUAGAGAAAUUCCUGGAGAUUUCCUGAAGUCACCCCUGGAAGAGUUUCCGGAGGUACUGCAGAAGGAAUUCCAGGAAGAAUACCUGGAAGAAUUCCCGGAGAAAUUCCCGCAGGAACUCCUGGAGGAAUUCCAGAGAAAACUCUUUAGAGGAACAUCUGCAGAGAUUGCCGGAUGAACUUCAUAAAGAAUUCCCAGAGGAACUCUUUGUGGACUUUCCGAGCUCACGAAAGAAUUCUCAAUAAAACUCAUGCAAGAAUUUCCACAAGACCUCAUGGAUAAAAAUUCCCGGAAAAAAGUCCUGCAAGAAUUCUUGGAGGAACUCCUGGAAAACUUCUCGGAGGAAAUCCUGGAAGAAUUCUCGGAGGAAGGCCUGAAUGAAUUCCCGGAGAUAUUCCUGAAACAAUUCCCGAGAAAACUCCUGCAGAAAUCACCAGAGGAAAUCCUGGAAGAACUACCGGAGCAACUCCUGGAAGAAUUACCGGAGAAACUCCUGCAAAACUCCUGGAGGAACUUCUGCAGAAAUCUCCGGGAGAUCUCCUGGAAAAAACCCUAAAAGCAUUCCCGGAAAACUCUUGGGUGAGUUCCCGGUGGAACUCCUACAAGAAUUCCUUAAAUCAUUCCUGGAAGAAUUUUCGAAGAAACUCCCGAAGGAAUUCCUGGAAGGAGAAAUUUCCCCGGAGUAA